AGACCCGAAACCCGGUGAUCUAGCCAUGGGCAGGUUGAAGGUUGGGUAACACUAACUGGAGGACCGAACCGACUAAUGUUGAAAAAUUAGCGGAUGACCUGUGGCUGGGGGUGAAAGGCCAAUCAAACCGGGAGAUAGCUGGUUCUCCCCGAAAGCUAUUUAGGUAGCGCCUCGUGAAUUCAUCUCCGGGGGUAGAGCACUGUUUCGGCUAGGGGGCCAUCCCGGCUUACCAACCCGAUGCAAACUGCGAAUACCGGAGAAUGUUAUCACGGGAGACACACGGCGGGUGCUAACGUCCGUCGUGAAGAGGGAAACAACCCAGACCGCCAGCUAAGGUCCCAAAGUCAUGGUUAAGUGGGAAACGAUGUGGGAAGGCCCAGACAGCCAGGAUGUUGGCUUAGAAGCAGCCAUCAUUUAAAGA
rnacentral:rRNA from 2 species